GAUGAACGCUAGCUACAGGCUUAACACAUGCAAGUCGAGGGGAAACGAUAGAGAAAGCUUGCUUUUUCUAGGCGUCGAGCGGCGCACGGGUGAGUAACGCGUAUCCAACCUGCCCAUCACUUGAGGAUAACCUUGCGAAAGUAAGACUAAUACCCAAUGACGUCCAUAGAAAACCUCUGAAAGGGAUUAAAGAUUUAUCGGAUACGGGUGGGGAUGCGUCUGAGUAGCUUGUUGGCGGGGUAACGGCCCACCAAGGCGACGAUCAGUAGGGGUUCUGAGAGGAAGGUGCCCCACAUUGGAACGGAGACACGGUCCAAACUCCUACGGGAGGCAGCAGUGAGGAAUAUUGGUCAAUGGGCGAGAGCCUGAACCAGCCAAGUAGCGUGCAGGAUGACGGCCCUAUGGGUUGUAAACUGCUUUUAUAAGGGAAUAAAGUGAGCCACGUGUGGCUUUUUGCAUGUACCUUAUGAAUAAGGACCGGCUAAUUCCGUGGCAGCAGCCGCAGUAA
rnacentral:rRNA from 1 species